rnacentral:rRNA from 1 species
GACGAACGCUGGCGGCGCGCUUAACACAUGCAAGUCGAACGGAAAGGCCUGCUUUCCCUUGUGGAUUGCGGGUACUCGAGUGGCGAACGGGUGAGUAACACGUGAGUGAUCUGCCCCCAACUUGGGUAUAAGCCUGGGAAACUGGGUCUAAUUCCCGAUAGGACUGCAGGGUGGUGCCUGUGGUGGAAAACGAUUUUCUAGUGGUUGGGGAUGAGCUCGCGGCCUAUCAGCUUGUUGGUGGGGUAAUGGCCUACCAAGGCGGCGACGGGUAGCCGGCCUGAGAGGGUGGACGGCCACAUUGGGACUGGGAUACGGCCCAGACUCCUACGGGAGGCAGCAGUGGGGAAUAUUGCACAAUGGGCGGAAGCCUGAUGCAGCGACGCCGCGUGGGGGAUGACGGCCUUCGGGUUGUAAACUCCUUUCGACCGCGAGGAAGCCACCUGGUUGGAAGGGUGGUGACGGUAGUGGUAGAAGAAGCACCGGCUAACUACGUG